GUUGGUAGGGUAACGGCCUACCAAGGCGAUGAUGCAUAGCCGAGUUGAGAGACUGAUCGGCCACAUUUGGGACUGAGACACGGCCCAAACUCCUACGGGAGGCAGCAGUAGGGAAUCUUCCACAAUGGACGCAAGUCUGAUGGAGCAACGCCGCGUGAGUGAAGAAGGGUUUUCGGCUCGUAAAGCUCUGUUGUUGGUGAAGAAGGACAGGGGUAGUAACUGACCUUUGUUUGACGGUAAUCAAUUAGAAAGUCACGGGCUAACUACGUGCCAGCAGCCGCGGUAAAU
rnacentral:rRNA from 1 species